rnacentral:piRNA from 1 species
UUGGAGUAGGAUCUUCAAUUUUC